rnacentral:rRNA from 1 species
AUUGAACGCUGGCGGCAGGCCUAACACAUGCAAGUCGAGCGUGAAAGGGCUUCGGCCUGAGUAAAGCGGCGGACGGGUGAGUAACGCGUAGGAAUCUACCUAGUAGUGGGGGAUAACGUUCCGAAAGGAACGCUAAUCCCGCAUACGUUCUGAGGAAGAAAGCAGGGGAUCGCAAGACCUUGCGCUAUUAGAUGAGCCUGCGUCCGAUUAGCUAGUUGGUGGGGUAAAGGCCUACCAAGGCGACGAUCGGUAACUGGUCUGAGAGGAUGAUCAGUCAGACUGGAACUGAGAGACGGUCCAGACUCCUACGGGAGGCAGCAGUGGGGAAUAUGGGACAAUGGGGGCAACCCUGAUCCAGCCAUGCCGCGUGUGUGAAGAAGGCCUUCGGGUUGUAAAGCACUUUAAGCUGGGAGGAAGGCUCGAUAGUUAAUACCUGUCGGGAUUGACGUUACCAGCAGAAUAAGCACCGGCAAACUUCGUGCCAGCCGCCGCGGUAA